rnacentral:rRNA from 1 species
GACGUAGGGCGCAAGCGUUGUCCGGAUUUAUUGGGCGUAAAGAGCUCGUAGGCGGCCUGUCGCGUCGACCGUGAAAACCCGCAGCUCAACUGCGGGCUUGCGGUCGAUACGGGCAGGCUGGAGUUCGGUAGGGGAGACUGGAAUUCCUGGUGUAGCGGUGAAAUGCGCAGAUAUCAGGAGGAACACCGGUGGCGAAGGCGGGUCUCUGGGACGGUACUGACGCUGAGACGCGAAAGCGUGGGGAGCGAACAGG